AGAGCGAACGCUGGCGGCAGGCCUAACACAUGCAAGUCGAGCGGCCGUAGCAAUACGGCAGCGGCAGACGGGAGAGUAACACGUGGGAACGUGCCUAUCAGUUCGGAAACAACCCAGGGGAAACUUGGGCUAAUCGGCCGGAAUACCGCCCGUUACGGGGGAAAGUAUUUAUCGGCUGAUAGAGCGGCCCGCGUCUGAUUAGCUAGUUGUGAGGUAACGCUCACCAAGGCACGAUCAGUAGCUAGGUCUAGAGAGGUAUGAUCAGCCUCGAUUGGGACUGAGACACGGCCCAACUCCUACGGGA
rnacentral:rRNA from 1 species